GGGUUAGUAGGUUGGUCAUGCCUCCGGUAUGUACUGGUCUCACUGAUUCCUCCUUCCUGACGAACCGUAAUGCCAUUAAUUUGGUGUUGCGGGGAAUUUGGACUGUUACUUUGAAAAAAUUAGAGUGUUUAAAGCAGGCAUCCGUCUGAAUACAUUAGCAUGGAAUAAUAAAAUAGGACGGUUUGGUUCUAUUUUGUUGGUUUCUAGAGUCGCCGUAAUGAUUAAUAGGGAUAGUUG
rnacentral:rRNA from 1 species